UACGUAGGGGGCAAGCGUUGUCCGGAUUUAUUGGGCGUAAAGAGCGUGUAGGCGGCCAGGUAGGUCUGCUGUGAAAACUCGAGGCUUAACCUCGAGAUGUCGGCGGAAACCAUCUGGCUAGAGUCCGGAAGAGGAGAAUGGAAUUCCCGGUGUAGCGGUGAAAUGCGCAGAUAUCGGGAAGAACACCGGUGGCGAAGGCGGCAUCCUGGACCGGCAUUGACGCUGAGGCGCGAAAGCCAGGGGAGCAAACGGG
rnacentral:rRNA from 1 species